rnacentral:rRNA from 1 species
GAUGAACGCUGACAGAAUGCUUAACACAUCAGCAAUUGAUUGGUGGCGGACGGGUGCGUAACGCGUAAAGAACUUACCUCACAGUUAGGGACAACAUUUGGAAACGAAUGCUAAUACCUAAUACUGUGAGAGAGCUUUGCGUCCCAUUAGCUAGUUGGGGAGGUAACGGCUCACCAAGGCGAUGAUGGGUAGCCGGCCUGAGAGGGUGAUCGGCCACAAGGGGACUGAGACACGGCCCGUACGGCUACGGGAGGCAGGAGUGGGGAAUAGUGGAAAAUGGACCAAAGUCUGAUCCAGGAAUUCGGUGUGCACGAUGAAGUUUUCGGAAGGUAAAGGGCUUUCAGUUGAGAAGCGGUACCAACAGAAGAAGUGACGGCUAAAUACGUGCCAGCAGCCGCGGUAAUUC